UUUCCGUAGGUGAACCAGCGGAAGGAUCAUUAAUAAGAAGUUUUUUAUGGCACCCUAUUAAAUCCAUAUCCACCUUGUGUGCAAUGUCAGGGUUGAUUCUUGUCUCGAGAGGAACAGCCCCAAACAUCAACUAUACCUCAUCUCUUUGUCUGAAAAAUAUUAUGAAUAAUACUAUUCAAAAUAAAACUUUCAACAACGGAUCUCUUGGCUCUC
rnacentral:misc_RNA from 1 species